rfam:Alligator sinensis unplaced genomic scaffold scaffold740_1, whole genome shotgun sequence
GCCUGGAUACCUCAGUUGGUAGAGCUUCAGGCUUUUAAUCUGAGGAUUUAGGGUUUAAGUCCCUGGUCAGGUA